rnacentral:rRNA from 1 species
UCCAGACUCCUACGGGAGGCAGCAGUGGGGAAUAUUGCACAAUGGGGGAAACCCUGAUGCAGCAACGCCGCGUGGGUGAAGGAGCGUUUCGGCGCGUAAAGCCCUGUCAGCGGGGAAGAAGAAAGACGGUACCCGACCAAGAAGCCCCGGCUAACUACGUGCCAGCAGCCGCGGUAAUACGUAGGGGGCAAGCGUUAUCCGGAUUUACUGGGUGUAAAGGGAGCGUAGACGGCAGCGCAAGUCUGAAGUGAAAUGCCGGGGCUUAACCCCGGAACUGCUUUGGAAACUGUGCAGCUAGAGUGCAGGAGAGGUAAGUGGAAUUCCUAGUGUAGCGGUGAAAUGCGUAGAUAUUAGGAGGAACACCAGUGGCGAAGGCGGCCUGCUGGACGACAACUGACGGUGAGGCGCGAAAGCGUGGGGAGCAAACAGGAUUAGAUACCCGGGUACA